rnacentral:ncRNA from 1 species
AGAGGAAGCCGGUGCGAGUCCGGCGCGGUCCCGCCACUGUCACCGGGGAGCACGCUCGGACAACGCCACGGCGGGCUGUCAGUUAUCGCUGGGGGCUGCUGGAAGGCCCGGGAGUGCGUCCGACCCGGAAGCCAGGAGACUC